rnacentral:rRNA from 1 species
GACGAACGCUGGCGGCGUGCUUAACACAUGCAAGUCGAACGGAAAGGCCCUGCUUUUGUGGGGUGCUCGAGUGGCGAACGGGUGAGUAACACGUGAGUAACCUGCCCUUGAUUUUGGGAUAACUUCAGGAAACUGGGGAUAAUACCGGAUAGGAGCUCCCGCUGCAUGGUGGGGGUUGGAAAGUUUCGGCGGUUGGGGAUGGACUCGUGGCUUAGCAGCUUGUUGGUGGGGUAGUGGCUUACCAAGGCUUUGACGGGUAGCCGGCCUGAGAGGGUGACCGGCCACAGUGGGACUGAGGUGCGGCCCGUACUGCUACGGGAGGCAGCAGUGAGGAAUAUUGGGCGAUAGGCGGAGGCCGGAAGCAGCAACGCCGCGUGGGAGAGGACGGCCUUCGGGGUGUAAACCGCUUUCGCCGGUGACGAAGAGUGAGUGACGGUAAUGGGUAAAGAAGCACCGGCUAACUACGUG